AUUGAACGCUGGCGGCAGGCUUAACACAUGCAAGUCGAGCGGAGAUGAGGUGCUUGCACCUUAUCUUAGCGGCGGACGGGUGAGUAAUGCUUAGGAAUCUGCCUAUUAGUGGGGGACAACAUUCCGAAAGGAAUGCUAAUACCGCAUACGCCCUACGGGGGAAAGCAGGGGAUCUUCGGACCUUGCGCUAAUAGAUGAGCCUAAGUCGGAUUAGCUAGUUGGUGGGGUAAAGGCCUACCAAGGCGACGAUCUGUAGCGGGUCUGAGAGGAUGAUCAGCCACACUGGGACUGAGACAAGGCCAAGACUCCUACGGGAGGCAGCAGUGGGGAAUAUUGGACAAUGGGCGGAAGCCUGAUCCAGCCAUGCCGCGUGUGUGAAGAAGGCCUUUUGGUUGUAAAGCACUUUAAGCGAGGAGGAGGCUACCUGGAUUAAUACUCUAGGAUAGUGGACGUUACUCGCAGAAUAAGCACCGGCUAACUCUGUGCCAGCAGCCGCGGUAAGAC
rnacentral:rRNA from 1 species